rnacentral:rRNA from 1 species
GAACGCUGGCGGCGUGCUUAACACAUGCAAGUCGAACGGAAAGGCCCCUUUGGGGGUACUCGAGUGGCGAACGGGUGAGUAACACGUGAGUAACCUGCCCUUGACUUCGGGAUAACUUCAGGAAACUGGGGCUAAUACCGGAUAGGAAUCCUUGCUGCAUGGUGGGGGUUGGAAAGCUUCGGCGGUUUUGGAUGGACUCGCGGCUUAUCAGCUUGUUGGUGGGGUAGUGGCUUACCAAGGCUUUGACGGGUAGCCGGCCUGAGAGGGCGACCGGCCACAUUGGGACUGAGAUACGGCCCAGACUCCUACGGGAGGCAGCAGUGGGGAAUAUUGCACAAUGGGCGGAAGCCUGAUGCAGCAACGCCGCGUGCGGGAGGACGGCCUUCGGGUUGUAAACCGCUUUCAGCAGGGGCGAAGCUUGUGGUGACGGUACCUGCAGAAGAAGCACCGGCUAACUACGUG